GACGAACGCUGGCGGCGUGCCUAAUACAUGCAAGUCGAACGCAGUGGGGACGGGUGAGUAACACGUGGGCAACCUUCCAUCAGAGGGGAUAACACUUGGCAACAGGUGCUAAACCGAUACUGAUGGAUGGACCGGCGGUGCAUUAGCUAGUUGGUGAGGUAACGGCUCACCAAGGCCAAGAUCCAUAGCUGAUCGGAGAGGAUGAUCAGCCACACUGGAACUGAGACACGGCCCAGACUCCUACGGGAGGCAGCAGUGGGGAAUCUUGGGCAAUGGACGAAAGUCUGACUGAGCAACGCCGCGUGAGUGAAGAAGGUUUUCGGAUCGUAAAACUCUGUUGUUAGAGAAGCGGUAUCUAACCAGAAAGCCACGGCUAACUACGUGCCAGCAGCCGCGGUAAUAC
rnacentral:rRNA from 1 species